AAUUUCUGAGUCUCAAAGUCUGAAAGCUGCCAAAUUCUGGUUUGAGUGUGGCGUAACUGCAGUUUGAGAAACAGUUUCCUACAUUUUUUGGAUUUGG